rnacentral:misc_RNA from 1 species
GAUGAAGAACGCAGCGAAAUGCGAUAAGUAAUGUGAAUUGCAGAAUUCAGUGAAUCAUCGAAUCUUUGAACGCACAUUGCGCCCGCCAGUAUUCUGGCGGGCAUGCCUGUUCGAGCGUCAUUACAACCCUCAGGCCCCCGGGCCUGGCGUUGGGGAUCGGCGGAGCCCCCCGUGGGCACACGCCGUCCCCCAAAUACAGUGGCGGUCCCGCCGCAGCUUCCAUCGCGUAGUAGCUAACACCUCGCGACUGGAGAGCGGCGCGGCCACGCCGUAAAACACCCGACUCUUCUGAAGUUGACCUCGAAUCAGGUAGGAAUACCCGCUGAACUUAAGCAUAUCAAUAAGCGGAGGA